rnacentral:rRNA from 1 species
GAUGAACGCUGGCGGCGUGCCUAAUACAUGCAAGUCGAACGCGAGCACUUGUGCUCGAGUGGCGAACGGGUGAGUAAUACAUAAGUAACCUGCCUUACAGAGGGGGAUAGCCUUCCGAAAGGAAGAUUAAUACCGCAUAUUAUGGUUUUUCUGCAUGGGAAAGUCAUGAAAGGAGCAAUCCGCUGUAAGAUGGGCCCGCGGCGCAUUAGCUAGUUGGUGAGGUAAGGCCCACCAAGGCGACGAUGCGUAGCCGACCUGAGAGGGUGAUCGGCCACAUUGGGACUGAGACACGGCCCAG